rnacentral:rRNA from 1 species
UCUCAGUUCGGAUCGGAGUCUGCAACCCGACUCCGUGAAGCUGGAUUCGCUAGUAAUCGCGCAUCAGCCAUGGCGCGGUGAAUACGUUCCCGGGCCUUGUACACACCGCCCGUCAAGCCAUGGAAGCCGGGGGUGCCUGAAGUGUGCAGCCGCAAGGAGCGCCCUAAGGUAAAACCGGUGACUGGGGCUAAGUCGUAACAAGGUAGC